GACGAACGCUGGCGGCGUGCUUAACACAUGCAAGUCGAACGAAGUGGCGCACGGGUGAGUAACGCGUAAUAAACCUGCCCUUCAGAGGGGGACAACAGUUGGAACCGACUGCUAAUCCCGCAUACUGAAGGAGGGGAUUGCGUCUGAUUAGCUAGUUGGAGGGGUAACGGCCCACCAAGGCGAUGAUCAGUAUCCGGGCUGAGAGGAUUGACGGCCAAAGUUGGACGGGGACACGGCCCAGACUCCUACGGGAGGCAGCAGUGGGGAAUCUUCCGCAAUGGACGAAAGUCUGACGGAGCAAAGCCGCGUGAGUGAUGACGGCCUUCGGGUUGUAAAGCUCUGUUAAUCGGGACGCGGUACCGGAAUAGAAAGCCACGGCUAACUACGUGCCAGCAGCCGCGGUAAUAC
rnacentral:rRNA from 1 species